rnacentral:hammerhead_ribozyme from 2 species
AUCCAGCCGACGAGUCCCAAAUUGGACGAAACGCGCGUCAAACUGGAU